GAUGAACGCUGGCGGCGUGCCUAAUACAUGCAAGUCGAGCGAACAGACGAGGAGCUUGCUCCUCAGACGUUAGCGGCGGACGGGUGAGUAACACGUGGAUAACCUACCUAUAAGACUGGGAUAACUUCGGGAAACCGGAGCUAAUACCGGAUAAUAUCUUGAACCGCAUGGUUCAAUAGUGAAAGACGGUUUUGCUCUCACUUAUAGCUGGAUCCGCGCCGCAUUAGCUAGUUGGUAAGGUAACGGCUUACCAAGGCAACGAUGCGUAGCCGACUUGAGAGGGUGAUCGGCCACACAGGAAGAGAGGCACGGUCCAGACGCCGACGGGAGGCGGCAGCAGGGAAUCUUCGGCAAUGGGCGAAAGCCUGACGGAGCAACGCCGCGUGAGUGAUGAAGUUCUUCGGAACGUAAAACCCUGUUAUUAGGGAAGAACAAAUGUGUAAGUAACUAGGCGCGUCUGGAGGGUACCUAAUCAGAAAGACACGGCUAACUACGUG
rnacentral:rRNA from 1 species